UCUUCGCCUUCGCUGAUCUAGUUUUUUUUUUUCCGUUUCCCCCUUCCUUUAUCUCAGUGAUCAGGAAUCAGCCGCGCGCUUGCCCCGCCCCGCGGUUCGUCGUAUAGUUGCCUGAAAUCUCUCAUGCACGCUGUCUCUUUUCUGCUUCGUGAAUCGUGAUCGAGGCGGAAAAGGCUUUUUACGGUAUUCUAGUUUGCGGGUUGAAGGGGAAAUGCAGGAAUCUGUCAGUUCAGUUGCCGUGUAUCUGAAAACUUCGAUGCCGAUAUGUCUUGGUCUUUGCUUCUCUGUCCAUGACAUGUGAAGCAAAUUACUUGAUCUGUUUAUUUUUUUUGAACUCGAUUACUUGAUCUGUUUAGCUAUAAUAGAACAGUGGGUUCCAGAAUUCCGUUGGGGGUGUGUGUGUAGGGCCCAUUACAAUCAGGAACAAAUUCGAUUCAGUAAUCCCUACAAUAUUUUUUUCGCGACCGUGCCUGAGCACAUUUUUCAUUAAGAGGAAGCGAGUUUAAAGUUACACAAAAGUUGGUUUCGAAGAUUAGGAAACCAACCCAAGAUAACAAGAUUACAAGACUCUACCCGUUUAAGAUUGCGCGACCUGUUAAUCUGCCUAGUGCAACCACCACAAAGUCCAGAUGCUUGAGGCCAGCAUGAAACCACAGCACAAUCUCAUCAGCCGUCCGGCAAAGCAAGUCAUCAAUCGUAUUCACCUGACGAUCAAAAGUUCGUGCGUUGCGUUCCUUCCAAAGCAACCAGCAGAUGCAAAUUACAACGGAGUCGAAGCAUUUCCGGGCCUCUUUCCUAAUGUUCUUCCUCACCCCCGUCCACCAAUCAGCAAAGACAAAAGUGUGGUUCGUGGGAGCAGCAGUCUCCCACCCGAGUCUGCGCAUGAUUUUGAACCAGAUUUCCCUUGAAAAAGGGCAGCUGAUCAAUAGGUGGUCAAUCGUUUCUGGUAAUUGAUUGCAAAGCACGCACGAAUCAUCAUCUUGCAGGCUAUGCCUCUUCCGACGAUGAGCAGUCCAACAUCGGUCAUGCAAAAUGAGUCAAAUGAAAAAUUUGCACUUGGGCGGCGCACGAGAUUUGUGGAGGAGUUUGGCUCCCACCACAGAUUGCUGUCCAAUGAAGAAAGUCUUGUACGCCGAUGAGGUAGAAAAGAUCCUGUCCGAAGUCCACUUCCAGCAUAUGGCAUCCGCGCGACCUUGGGACAAUUGGGUUUCUCUAAUGACGUCCCAGACAUGUAGAUACUCUAAAAUUACUUGCACAGUGAGAGCACCUGUUAUAUCUUGAAUCCAGAGAUCCCCUUGCAGCGCCUAUGCGACAGUCCGCUGUUUUUUAAUUGUACUCCCUACUGCAUUGCACAAACAAGGGGCAAUGUCCAGUAGAGAUUUUCCUUGCACCCAGCGUUCCGUCCAAAACAAAGCUUUAUUUCCACCCCCCAGUUCAAUGAAGAUUGAGGUAGAAAACAAUUGUUCGACUGGACCCUCUGUCACAUCAGGUAGGUGAAGCCACGACCGAGUGUCAUCCGUUCGCCUCAGCCAUAACCAUCUCAUGCGUAGCACGUAGCCGAAUAGCUGCAGAUCAAUAAUGCCCAAACCACCCAAGUCCGGCAGCCUACACACUCUUGGCCACGCGAGCAGGCAAUGGCCGCCUUUAGCAGUGUCAGCUCCCCUCCAAAGGAAAUUCCUUCUGCAUUUAUCAAUACAUUUAAUCACCCAUGGGGAAAUAUUAAUGGCCAAGGCAGAGUAGGGAUCGCCGAAAGGGUGCUUUUGAUCAAAACUGUCCGCCCAGCACGGUUCAAAAGAUUAGCCUUCCAGGAUGGCAAACGAUUUGCCACUUUGUCCACUAAUGGUUGCAGCUCAACUUUACGUAGUUUCUUGAGACCAAGAGGAAUACCCAGGUACACGAUGGGAAAAGGGUCAAGCUUUGCUGGAAAGAAACUUAACAGGGUCACCGUGGCUUCCAGAUCACAUUGGAUUGGGGAGAUGAGGCACUUGUUAAUAUUUGUUCUGAGCCCUCAUGUGCUGGUAAUUGAUGUGAGCGUGUUAUGCAAUUGAUGUGCUGGUAAUUAACAAUAGCUAACUGAGCAUGAAUCAAUCAUAGAAAGGAUGUUAAUCGAAGAAACACAUAGUGAAAUUCGCGAAAUGGCACUA